UAGGAUAAACGACCGCUUCCUUUCUGCCUC
rnacentral:piRNA from 1 species